rnacentral:rRNA from 1 species
GACGAACGUUGGCGGCGUGCUUAAUACAUGCAAGUCGACCGGCGCAGCGGUAGCAAUAUCGCUGUGGAGGUGGCGCGCGGGGGAGUAACACGUAGGACAUCGGCCUUUACGUCUGGCAUAACUCCGGGGAACCGGAGCUAACAGCAGUAGCUGCAGCGGCCCGCGAUCGAGACAGUUGGUAAAGCUAAGGUGCCUGAAGAUGAGCCUGCGUCUGGUUAGCUAGUUGGCGGGGUAACGGCCCACCAAGGCAACGAUCAUUCGCUGGUCUGAGGGGAUGCUCAGCCACUCUGGCACGGUGACGCGGCCCAGACUCCUACGGGGGGCAGAAGUAAGGACUAAUGGUCAAUGGGUGAAAUCCUGAAGCCGCGACGCCGCGUGAGGGACGAAGGUCUUUUGCUUGUAAUCCUCUGUAGUAAGAGAAGCAAAUCCCAAUCUUUGGGACAUGACGGUAUCUCAAAAGUAAGCCCCGGCUAACUACGUG